AUGGCUGGAAAGCAGAUCUCAUUUCGAUGUUCAGACUACUUGGUCCUUCUUUACAGCCCCUCAUGUGUGCUUGUGCCUGCGGAGGGGACCUUGGUGCCACCCAAAGCGUGUGAGCUCGGGGAAGAACCUGGAGCAAGAAGCAUGCUGCUGACACACUGGAGGAAAACCACAGGCUGCACGUGUGAUAAGGAUUCCCUCACUGUAUCUCUAUUGGGUUUUAUUAAACACUGACAUGAAAACGUG
rnacentral:lncRNA from 1 species